ensembl:snoRNA
GCUUUGUGAUGCUUAGAGUCGGCUCUAAAGUGCUGAGCUGUGGGUUUUUAUAAACAGGCGCAUAUUGAUUCUGCGAUUUUAUGCAUGGAAGCUGCCAAUACAGCAGCCUUCCAUAGCCCGGUGGCAGGUACAUCG